UUGGAGGGCAAGUCUGGUGCCAGCAGCCGCGGUAAUUCCAGCUCCAAUAGCGUAUAUUAAAGUUGUUGCAGUUAAAAAGUUCGUAGUUGAAUUUCGGGAUCGAAUUGUUGGUCGUGCUUCGGUACGCACUGGCAUUAUUGGUUCCUACCUUCUGAAGAACCGCGAUGUCAUUAAUUUGGUGUUGUGGGGAAUCAGGGCUGUUACUUUGAAAAAAUUAGAGUGUUUAAAGCAGGC
rnacentral:rRNA from 1 species